CAGAAGAGGAUCUUGCUCCUUUGACGUUAGCGGCGGACGGGUGAGUAACACGUGGGCAACCUACCCUAUAGUUUGGGAUAACUCCGGGAAACCGGGGCUAAUACCGAAUAAUCUCUUUUACUUCAUGGUGAAAGACUGAAAGACGGUUUCGGCUGUCGCUAUAGGAUGGGCCCGCGGCGCAUUAGCUAGUUGGUGAGGUAACGGCUCACCAAGGCGACGAUGCGUAGCCGACCUGAGAGGGUGAUCGGCCACACUGGGACUGAGACACGGCCCAGACUCCUACGGGAGGCAGCAGUAGGGAAUCUUCCACAAUGGGCGAAAGCCUGAUGGAGCAACGCCGCGUGAGUGAAGAAGGUUUUCGGAUCGUAAAACUCUGUUGUAAGGGAAGAACAAGUACAGUAGUAACUGGCUGUACCUUGACGGUACCUUAUUAGAAAGCCACGGCUAACUACGUGCCAGCAGCCGCGGUAAUACGUAGGUGGCAAGCGUUGUCCGGAAUUAUUGGGCGUAAAGCGCGCGCAGGCGG
rnacentral:rRNA from 1 species